AGGUUGUUGGUUUCCUUAGUUGCUUUUGGAGCAGUAGGCUUUUCCUCUUAGAAUUUUGUCUACAAUUGUGAAUUGUUAAGUUUGUGGGGGUGGGUUAAAUUAAUAAGUUAUUGCCAUCUUCGGUGGAUUAGGUUGCACUAGUGAAAUAUGUUGACCAGUUUUAACUGCCAUUGACAAAUUUCGUUCAUCUAACCUCCAGAUUUUAUUGCUCUAGGCGGACUGGCAUGGUGUAAAGCAUUCAUUUCUAUUUUAUUUGAGAUUAGAUCAUAAUGGUGUUUGACAAAGCUGAUACUUAAAAGUGCUAACAAUUAGAGAUCUGAAUAAUUUAGUACUUAACUUCAGAGACAAUUUUCAACUGAAUUAUACAACAAACAAUAACAACUGCCUUAAUCCUAAACUAGUUAUGGUCGGCUAUAUGAAUCAUUUUUUGCCAUUCAG
rnacentral:misc_RNA from 1 species